rnacentral:tRNA from 1 species
GAAAUAUAAUAACACUUAGCUUCUAACUAAGUUAAUAACAAUAAAAUGUUAAUAUUUCU